UACAGAGGGGGCAAGCGUUGUUCGGAAUUACUGGGCGUAAAGGGCGCGUAGGCGGCCUGUUAAGUCGAACGUGAAAUCCCCGGGCUCAACCCGGGAACUCGCGUCCGAUACUGGCAGGCUUGAAUCCGGGAGAGGAUGCGGAAUUCCAGGUGUAGCGGAUGAAAUGCGUGAAUAUCUGAGGACACCGGUGGCGGAAGGCACGGCGAUCCUGGACCGGGU
rnacentral:rRNA from 1 species